GAUGAACGCUGGCGGCGUGCCUAAUACAUGCAAGUCGAGCGAACAGAUGAGGCGCUUGCUCCCCUCACGUUAGCGGCGGACGGGUGAGUAACACGUGGAUAACCUACCUAUAAGACUGGGAUAACCUCGGGAAACCGGAGCUAAUACCGGAUAAUAUAUUGAACCGCAUGGUUCGAUAGUGAAAGACGGUUUUGCUGUCACUUAUAGAUGGAUCCGUGCCGCAUUAGCUAGUUGGUAAGGUAACGGCUUACCAAGGCAAUAAUGCGUAGCCGACUUGAGAGGGGGGACGACCGCUCUGGAGCUGGGACACGGGCCAGACGCCGACGGGAGGCAGCAGGAGGGAAUCUUCGACAAUGAGCAAAAGCCUGACGGAGGAACGACGGGUGAGUGAUGAAGGUCUUCGGAGCGUAAAACUCUGUUAUUGGGGAGGGACAAAUGUAUAAAUAACUAUGCACGUCUUGACGGUACCUAAUCUGAGGACCACGGGUAAAUACGUG
rnacentral:rRNA from 1 species